rnacentral:rRNA from 1 species
AUUGAACGCUGGCGGCAGGCCUAACACAUGCAAGUCGAGCGAGCGGCGGACGGGAGAGUAAGGUAUGGGGACUGCGAGAUAGAGGGGGAUAACUACUGGAAACGGUGGCUAAUACCGCAUACUAUCGGAUAACCCAUAUGGGAUUAGCUAGUAGGUGGGGUAAAGGCUCACAUAGGCGAAGAUCUCUAGCUGGUCUGAGAGGCUGAUCAGCCACAGUUGGACUGAGUCACUGCCCAGAUUCCUACGGAGGCAGCAGUAGGGAAUAUUGCACAAUGGGCGCAAGCCUGAUGCAGCCAUUCCGCGUGUAUGAAGAAGGCCUUAGGGUUGUAAAGUACUUUCAGCGGGGAGGCGUUACCCGCAGAAGAAGCACCGGCUAACUCCGAGCCAGCAGCCGCGGUAAUAC